rnacentral:rRNA from 1 species
GACGAACGCUGGCGGCGUGCCUAACACAUGCAAGUCGAACGCCGUUUCGAACGCGUGAGUGACGCGUCGGUAACUGCCUCAUAGCGGGGGAUAACUAUUGGGAACGAUAACUAAUACCUGCUUCUGUGAGAUGGACCUGCGUUGUAUUAGCGAGUUGGUGAGGUUAAGGCUCACCAAGGCGACGAUACAUAGCCGGCCUGGGAGGGAGAACGGGCAAACCGGGACUGGAAAACGGGCCAGAAUCCUACGGGAGGCAGCAGGAGGGGAUCUUCGGAAAUGGACGGAAGGCUGAACGAGCAAAGGCGCGGGAGUGGAGAAGGUUUUCGGAGCGGAAAGCUUUGUUGUUAGAGAAGCGGUAACUAACCAGAAAGGAACGGCUAACUACGUGCCAGCCGCUGCGGUAAUAC